GAUGAACGCUGGCGGCGUGCCUAAUACAUGCAAGUCGAGCGAACAGACGAGGAGCUUGCUCCUCUGACGUUAGCGGCGGACGGGUGAGUAACACGUGGAUAACCUACCUAUAAGACUGGGAUAACUUCGGGAAACCGGAGCUAAUACCGGAUAAUAUAUUGAACCGCAUGGUUCAAUAGUGAAAGACGGUUUUGCUGUCACUUAUAGAUGGAUCCGCGCCGCAUUAGCUAGUUGGUAAGGUAACGGCUUACCAAGGCAACGAUGCGUAGCCGACCUGAGAGGGUGAUCGGCCACACUGGAACUUAGACACGGUCCAGACUCCUACGGGAGGCAGCAGUAGGGAAUCGUCCGCAAAGGGCGAAAGCCUGACGGAGCAACGCCGCGUGAGUGAUGAAGGUCUUCGGAUCGUAAAACUCUGUUAUUAGGGAAGAACAAAUGUGUAAGUAACUAUGCACGUCUUGACGGUACCUAAUCAGAAAGCCACGGCUAACUACGUG
rnacentral:rRNA from 1 species